GUAAAGGGCGCGUAGACGGCUGUGUAAGUUAUAGGUGAAAGCCCAACUUUCAAGGUUGGAACUGCCUGUAAUACUGCAUGGCUUGAGUGCAGGAGAGGGAAGCGGAAUUCCUAGUGUAGCGGUGAAAUGCGUAGAUAUUAGGAGGAACACCAGUGGCGAAGGCGGCUUUCUGGACUGUAACUGACGUUGAGGCGCGAAAGCGUGGGGAGCAAACAGGAUUAGAUACCCUGGUAGUCCACGCUGUAAACGAUGGAUGCUAGGUGUGGGAGGUAUCGACCCCUUC
rnacentral:rRNA from 1 species